GGAAAAACAGGAUAUAUGCCGAGUACUCGUAUCGUUUGGUUUAUUAUUGUUAUUAUUCGUCGUCUAAAUUCAAUAUAUAUUUAUUGUCACCUAUCUUGUGAACCAAUUUGAUUUCCGAGAAUUGUUGAUUCUUGAGCUAUUGCAAUCUUUGAUCGUUUCGAAAUCCUUUUCCUGGAACUUAAUAAGUUCUCAUCUUGAUUCGGGAAUUAUUCCAAUAAAUUCUCAUCUCGAUUCCUUGACUACUCAAUUGAGUUCGUUUAUCGACCUUGAAUAAUUAAACGAGUUUCAAUCUAAUUCUCUAUCAAUUUUGAGUUGUUUCACAUCUUGACUUGUAUACUAGUUGGAACCACUUCUAUUAUGAUUCAUUAAAUCAUUUGAUUUGUUUCUACAGUGGUUCAAUGAACGUAAAUCGUUCUUUUCCAGACUCUUGGACCAUUUAGGAUUAUUGUAUUUAUCCACUUAAUCAUUCGUUCAUAUCUUGACUUCUCAUUGAUCCUUUGAAACCACUUGUCUUUCGAGCUAUACAACCACGGAUUCAAUUUUAACCGUAGACCACUGUUGAUUGAGAUCAAUCUUCAUCAAUUGUUAUACGAUCUUUAAUUGUGGUCACUCUCUUAUUGAAACCAUUGAUCGUACCCUUCUUGACUUGUGAUUUUGUGACCACAAGAUACUAUCACUUGUUAUUGGAAUCCCACAAUCGUUGAACUGUGAUAUUGGUACUUUCCAAAGUGGAAUUCAUUAUUGGGAUUCAAAUGUAAAUUGA
rnacentral:lncRNA from 1 species